rnacentral:rRNA from 1 species
CAGUCGCCGCGGGAAUACGAAGGGUGCAAGCGUUAAUCGGAAUUACUGGGCGUAAAGCGUGCGUAGGCGGUGAGUUAAGUCUGCUGUGAAAUCCCCGGGCUCAACCUGGGAAUGGCAGUGGAUACUGGCUCGCUAGAGUGUGUCAGAGGAUGGUGGAAUUCCCGGUGUAGCGGUGAAAUGCGUAGAGAUCGGGAGGAACAUCAGUGGCGAAGGCGGCCAUCUGGGACAACACUGACGCUGAGGCACGAAAGCGUGGGGAGCAAACAGGAUUAGAUACCCCCGUAGUCCCUGUCUCUUAUCA